UAACAUAUCACGGUACAGGUUACAGCACAGAGAGUAGACAACGUAUCGUCUAUUAGGUCGUGUAGUAAACCAGAAAUACGUUAUAGUUUUUACGAUAUUGUGGCCUAUAGAUACUUUAGGAAUGCUACUGUUAUUAUAUAUAGCCGCCAUUGUACUGUGGACGCCAUGUGACAGUGAAAUAUACAGGGACACAAGGAACGUAUAUCCUUAUCGUCGGUAUCUCGAUGAUGUGGAUGACGACGGUGUGGACAGUCGCAAUUUUGAUAGCCGGGCCUUAGAUGAUGACGGUGUGGACAGUCGCUAUUUUGAUAGCUGGGCCUUGGAUGACAGUCCUAAUGAUCGUGACGACAACAUGGAUGAAGAUAUGAAUAGGGAUCAUGGUGGUAUUCCCAUGGGACCCAGUGAGGGCUGUGAUGACGGAAAAACUAAUGUUGAAGUAGACUGGGACCCUAAGUCGAGUGCUGAAUAUACCUGUGAUCCUGGAGUGGUAUUAAAAAAAGAUGCAAAAUAUGAACCUAAAAUGGUCUGUGAAAAAAGACCUAAAUCACCAUUACACAUCUGUAUAAAAGACAGGAUAACGUACCAUGAAUACUUACCAAUAAGUGGUUCUCAUCGUCCAGUAUGGCCAACAUUUGGGACUUAUCGUUACCUACCUCCUCAAAGAUGGUUACAUGGACUCGAG